GAACGAGAAAGUGGAGCAAUCCAUGAGUAAAGUGGCGACCGGGUGAGUAACACGUGACUAACCUACCUCCGAGUGGGGAAUAACUCCGGGAAACCGGGGCUAAUACCGCAUAACAUCGCGAGAUCAAAGGAGCAAUGCGCUUGGAGAGGGGGUCGCGGCUGAUUAGCUAGUUGGCGGGGUAACGGCCCACCAAGGCGAAGAUCGGUAUCCGGCCUGAGAGGGCGCACGGACACACUGGAACUGAAACACGGUCCAGACUCCUACGGGAGGCAGCAGUGGGGAAUUUUGCGCAAUGGGGGAAACCCUGACGCAGCAACGCCGCGUGGAGGAUGAAGUCCCUUGGGACGUAAACUCCUUUCGACCAAGACGAUAAUGACGGUACUGGUGGAAGAAGCACCGGCUAACUCUGUG
rnacentral:rRNA from 1 species